ACAUGCUUGCAGCAUAGCGUUAAUGCAUCGGAUCCCAUUAGAACUCCGCAAUUAAGCGCACCCAGGCUAGAGUAGUACUGGGAUGGGUAACCACCCGGGAAGUCCUAGUGUUUUACAUGCC
rnacentral:rRNA from 1 species